rnacentral:rRNA from 1 species
AUUGAACGCUGGCGGCAGGCCUAACACAUGCAAGUCGAACGGGUGGCGGACGGGUGAGUCAUGUCUGGGAAACUGCCCUAUGGAGGGGUUUAACUACUGGAAACGGUAGCUACUACCGCAUUCCAUCGGCUGUGCCCAGAUGGGAUUAGCUAGUGGGUGGGGCAACGGCUCACCUAGGCGACCAUCCCUAGCUGGUCUGAGAGGAUGACCAGCCACACUGGAACUGAGACACGGUCCAGACUCCUACGGGAGGCAGCAGUGGGGAAUAUUGCACAAUGGGCGCAAGCCUGAUGCAGCCAUGCCGCGUGUAUGAAGAAGGCCUUCGGGUUGUAAAGUACUUUCAGCGAGGAGGCGUUACUCGCAGAAGAAGCACCGGCUAACUCCGUGCCAGCAGCCGCGGUAAUUC